UAGGGAAUCUUCGGCAAUGGACGAAAGUCUGACCGAGCAACGCCGCGUGAGUGAAGAAGGUUUUCGGAUCGUAAAACUCUGUUGUUAGAGAAGAACAAGGACGUUAGUAACUGAACGUCCCCUGACGGUAUCUAACCAGAAAGCCACGGCUAACUACGUGCCAGCAGCCGCGGUAAUACGUAGGUGGCAAGCGUUGUCCGGAUUUAUUGGGCGUAAAGCGAGCGCAGGCGGUUUCUUAAGUCUGAUGUGAAAGCCCCCGGCUCAACCGGGGAGGGUCAUUGGAAACUGGGAGACUUGAGUGCAGAAGAGGAGAGUGGAAUUCCAUGUGUAGCGGUGAAAUGCGUAGAUAUAUGGAGGAACACCAGUGGCGAAGGCGGCUCUCUGGUCUGUAACUGACGUUGAGGCUCGAAAGCGUGGGGAGCAAAAAGG
rnacentral:rRNA from 1 species